GACGAACGCUGGCGGCGUGCUUAACACAUGCAAGUCGAGCGGUAAGGCCCUUUCGGGGGGUACACGAGCGGCGAACGGGUGAGUAACACGUGGGUGACCUGCCCUUAGCUCUGGGAUAAGCCUGGGAAACUGGGUCUAAUACCGGAUAUGACUCCAUGACGCAUGUUGUGGGGUGGAAAGCCUUGUGCGGCUAGGGAUGGGCCCGCGGCCUAUCAGCUUGUUGGUGGGGUGAUGGCCUACCAAGGCGACGACGGGUAGCCGGCCUGAGAGGGCGACCGGCCACACUGGGACUGAGACACGGCCCAGACUCCUACGGGAGGCAGCAGUGGGGAAUCUUGCGCAAUGGGCGAAAGCCUGACGCAGCGACGCCGCGUGAGGGAUGACGGCCUCGGUGU
rnacentral:rRNA from 1 species